CAUUGCGACAGUCAAAGUUCUAUUCAUCUUGACAAGAACUGUACAUUUUAUGGUAAUUCGAAACAUAUUGAUGUGAGAUACCAUUGGAUUAGAGAUGUGUUGGAUUCUAAGUUGCUAGAAUUUGAGAAGAUUCACACUGAUGAUAAUGGUUCAAAUAUGAUGACUAAAGCUUUGCCAAGAGAGAAGUUUAAAGAGUGUUGUUUGAUCGCCGGGAUGGCGGUUUCCUCCACAUAGUCGGGAGGGGGAGAAUUGUUGGGUUUUUAGAUUUUCCAUUCCUAUGUGGAUUUGGAUUAAUAAAAUCCAAUCCGUUUUGGCCCAUCCCACUUUUGUCCUAAAAUCCACUAUAUAUAGGAUCAACUUAGGUCUUAUUUCAGAACAUAAGACUGAAUUCAUAACAACCAUAUAGAGACAAAAAUUGAGAGAGAAAAGGUGAUUUUCGGACCAGUGAAAAUCAGCUACAACAGUCCGCUUUAAAUUGUGUUUCCCAAUUUGUUAACCGUGGGAUCGUACUGAAAUUUCAACUGGGGGUUCUCAACAUAUGGUUCUUAGAUUUCAACGGUGGUGAUCGGAUUUUGUGGUCUAUAGAUCCAGUGUAGUACGAACAGUAGCUCGGUUGAUUUCUCUCAUUUCUUCACUAGUUUUGGUGAUAUCUUUUAUGUAUUGUUGCUCCGUGUUUGGCGUUGAUGUUAUAGCCAUUUGGAGAACAUUACUGUAACUCUUUUUUAUUAUAGUGAAGCUUUUGUGGGCCGGAGGUCCCGCGGAUGUUUCCUCUUCAACUUGAAGGGGUUUUACCACAUAAAUUUGAUGUCUCUUACAUUCUAUUUAGUUUACUUGCUUUGCUAUUUAUUGCUAGUAUAGUUUCUGCCCGGAUUUUCAUUUGUGCUGGUGUUUAUUGUCUUCUCUUAGUUCAAAUAGUGUGCAAAGUACUUAGGUAUUUCUUCCGCAGUUACCUCGUCGUGUAAUUUGGUUAUUGUUUGUUUCUUCCCAACAAAGUGGUAUCAAAGCCUCGUAGUGCCUUUUCUCCGUCUAUGAGCCGGUUUACAACCUUUACUUGUAGCUUUGAACACGCAUACACAGCCUUUGGGCUUCGGUGACCGUAAAUACUCUGAAGAUGUGGGUAGCACACAUACAUGUUCAAUUUCUGACCCAUGAGUUAUGGUAAUGAGCCAUGUGGAACUUAGUUCGGGGGGGGAGAUUGUUGGGUGUACGAACAAAGUAUCACAUUCGUAGCUAGAAAGAAAAAAGAGCUACUUAUAAGGAGUUGGAUACGCUUAAUGAUGUGAGGCCUUUUGGGGAAAAUCGUGCAGGCUUGGCCCAAAGCGGACAAUAUCACAUCAUGUUAAGAGUAUCUUUGAACUGUUUAGCCCAACAACUGGUAUCAGAGCCAAUGAUUUGGUAAAAUGAGUAUGAAGAUGGCGGAGUGCGGCAUAGGGCCCAUCUUAGUGCCUUUACCCAUCUAUGGGCUGGUUUACGACAUUUACCCAUAGCUUUGAAGACGCAUACACAACCUUUAGGCUUUGGUGACCGUAAAUACUUUGACGAUGUGAGUGGCACAAAGACACGUUGAAUCUCUGACUCGUGAUGAGUCAUGUGGAACUUAGCUCGAGGGGGAGAUUGUUGGGUGUGUGAACAAAGUACCACAUUAUUAGCUAAAAAGAAAAAAUAGUUAUUUAUAAGGUGUUGGAUACUCAUAAUGAUGUGAGACCUUUUGGAGAAAACCGUGCGGCUUGGCCCAAAGCGAACAAUGUUGACACCCAAUUCUGGCCCUCCUUUUUCAUUUAAUUAAUUUCACUAUGCUUCUUAGCCCUGAAAAUUCCCCAAAAUGAGUUUCGAAUAUUUUCGCAAUUACUAGACUAAUUUUUGAGAUAUUAUUAAGUUUAUUUUAUCAUUCCUAAAAAAAAUUACUAAACAUAACAAUUUAUAAUUAAAAUCACUCGAAAAUAACGUUGAUAUUCCGAUAUCAAUAUUGGUGUUGGCAUUUUUCCUUUAAUCCUAUUUAUUGUUGCAUCAAUAAUAUUUUACUCUAUUUUGAAACUAAAUAUUUAAAUUAGAUUGCUUAUAUUGUAAUUUAUAUAUGUAUGCAUUUUGCGGAAUUAAUUAGGAUAAAGAAGCAUAUUUUAAUUAAUUGAUUGAAGUAAAAAGGGAUUAGAAAUUAAUUCAUUUACAUAAUAUUGGGCCAAUUCCCUUUUCCCCCCAAACCAAAAUCUGUGGCCCAAAAUCCCACCGACCCGGCCCAAACACCUACAACUAAACCCCCUAAGUCCCUAAUCCAUCUUCAGCAACCAGAACCAAGCGAUCCCUUUCUCUUCAACUAUACCAAACGACCCCUUUCUUCAACCUAGCACAAAACCUUAGCCAUAUCCCACAAAAUCCGCCACCUACAUCCCUCUUCUCCUUUCUCACACUCCAUCUCUGAAGCUUGUAGGCUCCAUGUGCGAUUUCAGCAGAUUUCAUGGUAAGUCCCAUCCCCAUUUUCAUCAUCUUAUCUGUUGAAAACAUCUCCCAAAAUUUCCCCCUUUUUCCUUGUUUUUGAAUUUUGAAUUUCGAAUUCAAGCUUUAGUGAAGCUGCGGAAACCCUCAGUAUUUUGGCUAUAAAUACAGCCUUUCUGGGUUGUUUUAGAAUAAGUUUUUGAGGCUGAAAAUCCCCCCUUGAACAAAGCUUUCAUUAGGAGAAAAUCCCUAUUUUUCUUACUAUUUUUAAAAGCUCUUUUGCUAUCAGAAAAAUCCUUCUCUUUACUCUAAGUUCUUGGCUAAGCAAAACAACAAGAAAACUACUUCGAGCGGAUUUGAGGACUCGACGACAAUAGCCUCAGUUCGCUGUCACGAAGAAGCAUUUGGAGUUAUGACAACUCUAGAUCCUGCCCAUAUCAGAGAAGGCAACAGAAGCAGCCUAUGUUUCGUUCGUUAAUGUGUAGCAGUCUCAGUUCCUCAUUCAUGUCAAAAGUCUCCGUCCUCCCUCUGUUCGAACUUUAUGUCUUUGCGUAAACUUGUGUAUAUACAUGUUGUUUAUAUUUUUAACUAACAUUUUUAUGGAUUGUGUUUGUAGCAUAUUUGUGUCUUUGCUUGUGUAUGAACUCGCGGAGAAAUAGUUAAGUAUAGAAAUUUAAUUGUUUACUUUCCUCA